CGAAACUUGCCCCGAGAUGAGUUCUCCCUGACUCCUUGAGAGUCCUGAAGGAACGUUGAAGACGACGACGUUGAUAGGCCGGGUGUGUAAGCGCAGCGAUGCGUUGAGCUAACCGGUACUAAUGAACCGUGAGGCUUAACCUUACAACGCCGAAGGUGUUU
rnacentral:rRNA from 1 species